AAAAUAAAUUAAUGGAUUUAAGGAAUCAUCUUGGUUUGGAGGAGGAGAAGCAUCCCAGCAAUAGGAUUUUGCCUUUGGGGUACGCCCCACUGUGUCUCCCUCCAGUCAUGCCAACACCUCUCUGCCACAGCAGCAGCUAAAGCUGCUGGUAUUCAAGGCACACCCUGAGUUCAAACUCCCACCAUACGCUGAGAAAAUAUCUCAUAUUAGAUCCUGGGACAGCUGCUUCACUACCACCUCGAAUGGCAUAAGGUGAGAGCAAGAGGAAAUUAUAGGGAGGAGAAGAAUUAAAAAAACCCAAACAACUCAGCUCAGACAUCAAUCACUUCUAUUAUCCUGCUUGGGUAUGGGGGAACUUUGUGCAGAAAGCUGGAUCCUGAUCUCUAAAAGUGCCUCUGUCACACAGAUUUACUCCUACAGGUGCUUAGGAAAAUUAUUUCUAAUUUAAGUCAUUAACAGUGGUUUUUCAGGACUGACAGAGGAAAUACAAAGCACCCUUCCACCUUGUAAGAAUAAUGCAGCAAUCUGGAAAUAUUACAGCAAGGUGUCACUUUCACUCAUUCUAAAUAAAAAGAGGGAAGUAAAAAUUAAGUAUCACUAAAUAUAGAUGCUAUUUCAUUAUAGAUAUCUAAAGGGCAUCCAUUUUAGAAUACAGUGCAUCUAGACAUCUCAUUAUUUUAAAAAAUUAGUUUAGCUGUGAAAUAAUAUUCUUUUGCUUAGUCAAAUUUGAUCUCAUCUUUACAGCUUUUCUAACUUCAUUAGAAACCUCUUAGUGAAGCAUGAACUGCCACAAACUGUCCUUCUGAAAAUUGGACAAUAAUUUCCAUUAGGGAUCCAUCGGAAAGUGAAAGGAAAGACAGGGAAAGUGUCACUGGCAAAAUACCCGUGAGUGUUUGAACUGCUGUUUUCAUGUAGUGAGCAGCGUUGGCAGCUUCUUCUGCCAUUGUUCCUGGUACAAUACAGGCAAAUAAAAUUACAGGCUGAAUGCACUGCUAAACUGGUAGGUGAAAACUAUUACAUGCACAAUCUUUGCACAAAGGAAAUCUACUCUCCUCGGAGCUAUUUGUUUAAAAAAGGAUUAUUCUAUUUAUAUACAAGUAUUUACAGAGUAUUAAACAGCAUUGUGUUGAUUUCUUCUUGCAUGGAAUAUGUUAUAUUUUAAAAAUAGAACUAUUCUAAUGCUUUCAACAAUCUUUAAGUGUAUAUAUCACAAAAAUAUCCUUUGCACAGAGAACAUAAAGACUAAAAGACACUCGAUUAUGUGUUUAUAUCCUACUUAAUGCAAUGAAAUGGAGAUCUGAAACAGUUCCACAAACCCUUGAAGCUCCUUGGCCUAGAAAAUUUUGAUAUUAAAAAGAUAUUUGUGAUUACAAAUGUUUUCCUAAACCUAAGUCAAGCAGCCUUGAGCUACCUCAUAUUUACCCACAGUCAGCUCCUGUGGAUUAAGUGGGAUCCAGCAGCUCGUUAUCCCUGAGCCCACACACCCCUGCUGACCCCACAGCAGCUUCAGCUUCAGAGGCGAAUCAAUAGGGCAGAGCUCCAGCAUUUCAUCCCUAAAGAAUAGAAAAAGGCCUUCCCAGAUGCAAGCAGAGUAGUUAAUGAUAUUCUCAUGACACAAAUAUUAAUUUCUCACACAUCUCCUGUCUGUCAGCGAAGGGAGAUCCUAAUGCAGCAUGGACAGUCACACUCCAGAAAUCCCCAUGGAGCUCAGGCAAGCACCAGCAGUUCCAAGUGAGACUUGGUUAUAAACCACCCUUUCUUCCUAAACUGAAAAAUAUCACAAGGAAAUGCUGGAAUAUUUAGCCCACCUUGCUUUUCUUUCCCCCACUGAUUUUUAAAUGAAACAGUACUGGAAACACAGUCAAAACUUUUCCUUUACCACGAAUCAUUUUUUUCCCCAGUCAAUCCAGUUUCUAACAUCCAUUUGCAAAACAACUUAAAAACAUUGAAGGAAAAAAAAUAGGAAGAAAUACUGAGGGAAGAGGGAAAGGGAAGGUCUAAUUCAAAAUAAAGCUAACAAUAAAAUAACUAACCAGGUCAUAAUUUACCAAUAAACACGUUGAAUAUGCCCAAAUGAAUAUACCUGCCCACAGUUCCCAUUGACCAAAUGACAUUAGGGAGCAGAUACCCCAUUGUGAGGCAAAAUUAAAUCUGGAUAUCCUUAUCACUUCAUUCACCUAAAAAAAAAAAAGCAGGAUUUUUUUUUUUUAAUAUUGAAUCUCAAGCCAGGGGGUAUUCUCACAGGAAACAGCAGCCACCACUGCAUAGCAGACCAUCACCAGAGGCAUUUCCAAAGGACAGCAUCCGCAUGAAAUGGAUCUGCCCUGGCUCUCAGGCUGCCCUGGGAGGCUGUGGAGAGGCGAGGAAUUCAAACAUGAAUGAAGUGUUUUCCUUGCCCUGUCCAGCGUAACUCCUCAACACGCCUGGCUGGCAUGAGGGAAUUGUCUGCUUCAGCACAACACUUGCCAGAAAUUAUUAACACUCGGAUUUCUCACAGAGAAAGAUUGGCUCCUCUGCAGGGCCGAGGUGGGGCUGGAGGAACGAGCAGCACGAAGCAAAAUUCAGCGCUUGAUUUUCCCCUGAGACAGACACAGAGCAGUGCUGAAGGAACAGGAACAAUUUUGUCAGAUGAAAUAGGCACCAAGUUUAAUCUUGUUAUGUGGAUACAAACUUCCCACAUGCAAAUUUCAGCUGUUUAAAAAAAAAAGUCACUUUCCAGGCUCUGCUCCCAGCCCCUUCCCACCUCCUUGUCUGAAGGGCUCUGUUACUGCUGUACCCAUAAGCACCUCAUCAUCAUCAUCAGAUUUAUUCUCACAAAUCCCCAGGGGCAGAGAAUCACAAUCAUGUCAUUUUUGCAGAUGGCUGUGAUGUGCCACUUCCCCAGGCAUCUGGUCCAAGCCAGCCACGCCAGACAGGGUAAGGGAAGGGCUGGUACCCACCCCCCUGGGAUGCAGCUGCAUCCCCUCACCAAUCACUCUGUCCUCAACAGGAACAGCCCAUCCUUUCCUCUUAAUUCCUCUUGAAGCUUUUCAACAUCUUGAGUAUUAUCUAAAAUGCCAGACAGUAUUAUCUGCCUGUAUCUCAUUAAGCAUUUGGGACUUUAACUGCAGUGAGCUUCUGACUGUGACUCAGAACAGCCAAUAUUCAACCUCAGUCUGCUCAGGGUCAGGCUGCUGCUGCCUUACACUGAACCAGUGUGACCCACGAAGUUCAAGCAGUAACUGACUAUUGCAAGGAAGCACCUGUUGUUCUUCAAGUUCAAGAUUUUUGGCAUGUUUUCACACAAAAAAUGUGUUGAAACCAAGCACCUAACAAGAUCCAAUGUUAGCUCAGAGACCAAGUUACAAGUUGUGCAGGUAAAUGAUUUUGAAGCCUCCAUUUUUCAGGGUGCAGGAAAAGAAGAUGCAAUGAAACUCAGAGCAGGCAGGUAUCUUUAGCCACCCAAAAUCAGGGCAUUCACUGCACUGCAUAGGAGCUGAACAAACUUGUGGACUGACCCAAUCCACAUCAGCAAGUUUGCUGUGUUAAAACAUACAUAAAAAGAUCUUUUUUUCUUUUUGUUGUUCAUUGGGUUGUUUAGUGGUUUAGGUUUUUUUUUGGGGGGUGGAGGGGUGAGGGGAAAUAGAAAGCUCACAUCAUAAUAGGUGGAAGUAGAGGUUUUACUGCAGUGCACCUGCCCAUUAUCUGGUCACUCUGAGGCAAAAGUUUGACAUUAUUGCUAGACAGCUCUGAAUAUGCAAAAUAUGACACACCCAAAACACCCCAUGGCUGUGGACCACAACAGGUCGCUCUGGCUAAAUGCUGGGCAAUGAGGAAGAGAAACAAAAGCCUAAAGGCAAUAUUUUCCCCUUCACAAAGGAUAAACUUCAGCUAAUUACAGACUUUGGAACACAGAGAAAUUUAAAGCACACUUGCUCUCUCACAGCUAAUAUUUAUACUAAUAAAGAAAACAGCUACUAGAACUGAGGAACAGCCCAUUAUAUACCUUUUAAUGCAUUACAAUGGUAUUAAACAUAAUAAAUAAAACAAGUGUGGAUGGCACCAGUUGAGACAUGCUUUAAACAGAACUCCACCUCAGAGAUUUUUUUAAAUUAUACAAUGUUUUACCCAAUUAAUCAUCCUAUUCUCAUGAGGUUUUCUUCCCUUUUCACCCCCACAGAGGCUACUGGAUAGUGAUGCUAAUUUGUGAAAGUUCUCAUGCACUUCUUUGCUUAUUAAAAAGUGAGGAUUCACACUGCAAUUUCAAAAUCUGUAUCCCACCAAGACAACUUCAGUGCCAAAGUCUCAGAGUAACUUCUCUCUUUCAACAGAAUAACAAAUAAGUAUUUUUCCUUUGCUGCAUCAGACACUACAGCUUCCCUUCAAGCAAUAUUUUGCUAGUGGUUUUGCUUUGUUUUGUUUUUUAAAUACAUACAUAAAAAGAGGAAAAAACACCAGGUUUGUUAUUCCAAUACAAUUUCCUUCUGACCACACAAUUUAAUUACGUAAAGAUGGAAAAUCAAUUUGAUUUUAAAAUAACAUUCAAAUAUGUCCUGAAAUGAAAAUUCUUUGUUUACCAAGAAAGGAUGAAAAUUAUCACUCAAAGGUACAUGUGAAAUGAGGAGAAUUAGGAGAGAAACUGCAAUUCUUUGCUGUGAAAGAUUCAGCCACAUGGGAGAAAAGAAACUAAAAGUCUUUAAUUUUGAAUUUAAAAAAAAUGAGAAAAAGAAAACAUAAAUGCCCUUAAUUUCAUAUAUCCUUUUCAUUAUAUAGUAUUUUUAGAUGCUUAAAAAAAACCCAAACAAAAGACAAAAAACAACUCAACCCUUCAAGCACUUCAGGCUCCCCAAGGAAUGUAUUUCAGUUAUGAAAAAAGACCUUAAGCUCAGAUGCUUCCACGUGCAGAGCAGCGAGCUGGCCCAACACACAGGAGCAUGCUCAGCACUUGCCGAGCUGCCCAUAAAUCUUCACAUGCUCCAAAAAAGAGGCUUCAGACAGAGGCUGCUGGCCACCAGCCCUGCAAUAAGUCACUGCUACAAAAUCAUUUUCUACUACUCAAACAGAGCCAGUGGCCAGCCUGGUCUGUGAAACAAAUGGGGCGAAUUCAGCAGGAGGCACAAGGCAAGGUUUUUUGUGGGUGUUUGGUUUUUGUGAGUUUGUGGGUUUUGGGGUUUUUUUUCCUACAACAGAGACGAGGUCUCAGACUGACAGAGGCCAGGACUGGGUUUGGAGGAAGAGUGGAGAACAGAAAUAACAGAUCCUUCCACCCAUGGCCAUGUCCAGGUUUCACAUUCCCAGGAGAACAGAAACUCUGGAUGAAAGAGACUAGAAUUAUCAAAAAACCACAUUUUGAUGGGAGCUCAGGGCCCGCUCACGGCCCCGAUUUUGCCCUGAGGAGGAAUCGGAAGGCAGAAAGACAAAUCUGCUCAAGGCAGCCCUGGUGAAAUGGAGCUUGGCAAGAACAGAUAAGAGAGUCCUGUCAAGAAGAUUAAAAUAAAGUAGAUGGUUGCAAAGGAAGGACAGAGGGAAGAUCAGAAACCAAGCAGUGUGAAAUGGGAGGAAACCACAAAACACGACAGAGUGAAAGGUGAAUGCACCUGAAAGACACUGAUGGCAAACUGCUGCCCCGAAUUAUGACCUUUCCACCAACAGCCUUUACACCAACAGAAAAAAAUUAAAGCCUUGGCAUCUGGUCUAGGCUUAAUAUUUAAAUUCAUGGGUUAGUGGGGAUUACCUAUCCUGCUGAGAGAAGAAACACAGAAACACUGAAUUUUUCAGUCCCAACUCCCAAGUUCAUUUGCAUGGUGUGCUAAAUAUUACAAAUAUCCAAACUGACAGCAGUAAAUUAUAUGGAUACUGGAUUAUAUUCCCAUCUCUCUAAAAUUUAUUAGUAAAAAAGUUAUUAAUAAAUCAAAACCUAAUAGUUUGAGCAGGUUUGAACCCAAAGCUCAGAUUCAAGCCACGCCAAACUUAGAACCAGUUCAGAAAUGUAUUUUAUGCAUAAUUCUUGUCAGUAACACAAGUGAAAUCCAAAUCCUAAAAUGAUCUGAGAGGGUGCAUCAGCUUCAAGAGACUUUGUAUUACUCAGUGUUCUGCCAAGACAGGAAUUCCAAGCAAUCUCCCAAAUCAGCAGCAAUAGCAUCUUCAAAGGCAAAAGAAACUAAACUGGAAAGAAACUGAGAAGCAAAAUGAGCUCUUCAUCACAGCUGUGAUUAAAUUAAUCAACUGUCUCACAUGAGGACAAAUAUUGUAUUUUAUUACAUUUUAUCCAGGCAAAGCUAAUUAUAAAAGCAUGAGAUGAUUUGCAAUUAGGCACCAAACCAUCACAUUUUUCAAAUGGCAUUCAAAUGUAAUAUUGACCACGUGUGACAUGUGCCAUCAUGAUUUUCUGGCUUUACCCCACUGAAUGUGCCAGGCUAACUGAACCC
ensembl:lncRNA